rnacentral:rRNA from 1 species
UACGGAGGGUGCGAGCGUUAAUCGGAAUUACUGGGCGUAAAGCGUGCGUAGACGGUUAUCUAAGUCGGAUGUGAAAGCCCCGGGCUCAACCUGGGAAUUGCAUUCGAGACUGAAUAGCUAGGGUACGGUAGAGGGAAGUGGAAUUUCCGGUGUAGCGGUGAAAUGCGUAGAUAUCGGAAGGAACAUCAGUGGCGAAAGCGGUCUGCUGGGCCGUUGCUGACGCUGAGGCGCGACAGCGUGGGGAGCAAACAGG